rnacentral:rRNA from 1 species
CGUGAGAAUUUACCUUUAGGAGGGAAUAACAGUUGGAAACGAUUGCUAAUGCCGCAUAUCAUUUAUAUGAAAGAAGAAAUUCGCCUAAAGAAAGCUUGCGUCUGAUUAGCUAGUUGGUAAGGGUAAAGGCCUACCAAGGCGACGAUCAGUAGCUGGUUUGAGAGGACGACCAGUCACACUGGAACUGAGACACGGUCCAGACUCCUACGGGAGGCAGCAGUGGGGAAUUUUCCGCAAAUGGGCGAAAGCCUGACGGAGCAAACGCCGCGUGAGGGAUGAAAGGCCUCUGGGGCUGUAAAA